GUGAAAAAAAAAAAAAAAAAAAAAAAAAAAAAAAAAA
rnacentral:ribozyme from 13 species